rnacentral:rRNA from 1 species
AACGAACGCUGGCGGCAGGCUUAACACAUGCAAGUCGAGCGCCUCGCAAGAGGAGCGGCAGACGGGUGAGUAACGCGUGGGAACGUACCCUUAUCUUCGGAAUAGCUCUGGGAAACUGGAAGUAAUACCGAAUGUGCCCUUAGGGGGAAAGAUUUAUCGGAUAAGGAUCGGCCCGCGUUGGAUUAGCUAGUUGGUGGGGUAAAGGCCUACCAAGGCGACGAUCCAUAGCUGGUCUGAGAGGAUGAUCAGCCACAUUGGGACUGGGACACGGCCCAAACUCCUACGGGAGGCAGCAGUGGGGAAUAUUGGACAAUGGGCGCAAGCCUGAUCCAGCCAUGCCGCGUGAGUGAUGAAGGCCUUAGGGUUGUAAAGCUCUUUCACCGGAGAAGAUAAUGACGGUAUCCGGAGAAGAAGCCCCGGCUAACUUCGUG